ACGCCCCCUCCCCGCGCCAGUCCCUCCGGGUUCUUGCCACUGGCUUUCCGCACCUCUGCGGGGUCCACAGGCCCAAAGCGCCCACCCUGUCCUCGACUGUGUCCCGUCCACGACCCCGCCCCUCCUGCUGCUUGCCCCUCAGCACAGACCCAGGCCCCGUUCACCUACCCCUGCACUACUGAGCUCGCGCAAGGCUCUGGCCCUCACCCCAAACCUCUGCUUCCUCGAGCGCAGCCCCCUGCAGCUCGGCCCCUCCUCACCUCAGCACCUCCUGACCCUUUCUGUUAUAGCUCCGCCCCUAGGGCCCUCCUGUCCCAUGUCCCGCCCACAGGCCUGGCCCCGCCCCCUGGAACCCCGCCUUUUCCCUUCGAUGCCCCCAGUCCGCGCCCAAACCCAACUCCACCGCCUCUUCAGUUCUUCAUCAACAGGGCCCGUCACAGCCCCGCCCCGCCAGCGAGAGGCCCCGCCCAGCUGCCGCCCCUCCUCCCUUCCUCCCGCGCCCCCGCCCCGCCCGCAGGCUCCGCGCCGGGAAGGAUUCCCGCACCCGUGGCUAAAGUGGCGUUCCGCCGUCCGUUCUGCGUUGGCUCCGGGAUCCCGCCAUCCAUCCACGGGAGGUACUGCUGUCGCCUGGUGGUCGUUUGUGGUGCCUAUGAAAAUCCUGCAAGCACAGAGCCUCAGAGCUGUCACUAGAGACCUCCCUCCAGCUUCCAGAACCACUUGGAAGGACCAAGAAGUCUGUGAGCGUGCUGUGCAGCACCAUGAAGUCCCCACCCUCCUGGACCCAAAUGCCUGGUAUGAACUUGCCUUUGCUGAGGUCCCCCAGAGCUGCUGUCUGCAAGGGGCCUCUGCAAAGGCAAGUCUACUCCCAGUCACUACCCCAACUGUCCUCCUUGAAACACCACCCUCUAUGCCAAGGAAGGGCUAGGAGUAUGGCAUAGGAGAGGUGGAGAGAAUUUCUGCUUCCCCUGCUAGGAGAUGACUCCUGCUUCCCACCCCCCAUCCUCUGACUGCUCCCUGGGGAACACACAUGUGGACACUUAGGGAUAGAAGCAUCAGUGCUGCCCACCUGACCCCCAGGGAGGAGAAAGCUUCAGCCCACCCUCAUCUGCUGCUGAGGGCUGAGGCAGCCAUUUCUCUCACAAGCCUGUACAGCUGGGGCUGUGCUGCCAGUCUUUUGCUUAAUUGCAGGGGUUACCAGGGAAGUGGAGGCAGGAGAGGCAGGAGGGCUCAGGGGAAACAAGUACAGAAUCAGAGGAGUCAGGCAGACUUGGGUUUCAUACCAGCUCCACUGCUCACUAAUGUGGGACCUUACAGGUGUGUCUGCCCCUUUCUGAGCCUCAGCAUCCUCAGCAUAAAAUGGAGACAGUAAGAGAAUCUACCUCACAGGGAUGUUGGGAGAAUUCAGCAAAUUCCUGCAUGUGAAACAUUUCACAUAACACCCUUCAAGGGACAUCUAGGGGCAACCAGGAGAGGGAGUCGUACCAUCAGUCAGGCCCAGCAGGCCAGAGGGGGCCCACCUCAAUACAGAUCCCAUGGGUUCAAACACACUGAGAAGCUAGGGACCCCCCUUCACCAGCAGCCUUGCCUGGCCCAUGGCUGGCUAUCAAUGACUUAGCUAGCAGCAUUAUUCCCAAGGGUUAUGGGGCAGGGAGGCCCUUUAGUGAGUCUGGAGGAUCCCAUGAAGUCAACUCUAGGCAGGGAUGACCUAAAUAGAUGCUAGAAGCUGAUAUUACAGCUGCACACAACAAUCCCCCAGUGGGUGUUUCUGUGGCAUUUCCUAUUGUGGGAAAGACACAGGAACCAGAUUCAAUGUUCUGGUCUGGAGCUGGGCUUAGUUCUAAGCUGAGCAAGGGGGUGCCUUGUCUCAAGGGAAGAUGCUGAUCAGAAGAGGGUAUCUCAGAGUGUGGCUAAUGGGCUCUGAAGGAAGAAGGGAACCCUGUUUUCUAAGGACCCUUAGUUCCAAGGGUGGGAGAGGAUAUUUCAGGUGACAAGCAAGAUUUUGGUGACUUUACCUGAGGCCUGUUGCUUUUACAUGCAUCAUCCAAAUGUUUGUGCCACAGUAUUGCAUGAAAUCGGGAACCAGUUUGAAACUUGUAAACAUUGCCUGAUGGGUAGAGAAACCAUGGGUUAAGAAGAGGGCCACACAGGCGGGUCAGCUGGUAACUGUAGCAUGAGGAGAAAUGUAAACACGGGUAACUAAACUAGGAAGGUCAGCCCCAGGUGAGCUGGAACAUGCAGAGAAAGCAGCCUCCUGGGCUCCCUCCAGCUGUCCCUUUGGACCAUGGCUUUUAACCAUUUUGGGGCCAUGGGUCCUUUGGCUGUCUGGUUAAGCCUGUGGACCAUUUUCAGAAUAAUGUUUCAAAUGUAUAGAUAAAACGGAAAUUGAUAAUACUCAAAUACAGUUAUUAAACUACUAAAAAACAAAUCAGCAGUAAAAUUCUAUAGGUGCUUCUAUAUUAAAUCACUAAGAACAAGAUCUAGUACAGGUUUGAUACUGCACUGUGAUUUCAAAGAGAUGAGCAUACGUAACAUUUUGAAAUGUCUGUAACAAUAUGUGAUUUGAAAUAUCUGAUUUAUCUUAGAGAUAAAAUCACAGGUAUUGCUAACAGUUUUGUUGUCGGAUGCUUAUACUCAUAACUGAAGGAGUCAGAAGGCUCUGAAAACAAAGAUGUAUUUUCUUUCCGCCCAAGUUCACAGACCUCUUGAAUUCUAUCCAUGGACCAUGGCCACCCCUUGUGUCACAUUUCCUUAAGAAAACACUGCUAAUCCAGUCCAGACUGUUGAGAGAGAAAGAAACUCAAAUGGUAACCAAACUUAGAACACACUGCCACAUGUGUGCAACAAAUGCGGCUUCAGUCACUUAGACAUGGGGCGGAGAACUUGGCAAUUUCUUUCUUCCCCACUCCGGGCUCUUUGAGGCUCCCUUUGUUUCUCUGCUUCUCAGCUAACAACAUUAGAGCCUGACACUCAAGGCAUGGUCUCUCCACUAGCACUGGCAUCUGCAUUGCCUGGGGGCUUGUUGGAAAUCUUGGUUUCUACCCUAGAUCUGCUGAAUCCAAAUCUGAAUUUUAACCAGAUCCCCAGGAUAUUUGUGUGCUCAUGAACCCUAUAGUAAAACAUUCCUGUUAAGGUGUGAAAAUGCUUGGGGAUUUUCCAGCUCCAAUCAGUUUGCCUGGUUGGAAUCCAACUGACCCAGGCACUUUGGGUUUUUGUCAUGUGACAUGGGUUACUGAGGAGACUUGCGGUAGUCUGUUCUGAAUGUUGAUGAAGACAGGGCUGCUGGACAGGAUGGCGUCCAGAAUCUCUCCUUCUUCCCAGCAUGAUCAUGAAGCGGGAACCAGGAAGAACUGGGAGAUAGCUAGAGAAGGUAAAGUCGGAGCUUUGGGAAGUUAAAAGGGUUCUUCUCUGGGUUGGCCUUCAACCUGGACACUGCCAGAGUAUCAUGGCACAUGCAUGUCAGGGAGUCCCUGAAAUCUCCCCAGAGCCAAGACCCUUCCAGCCUCAUAGUCCUGCCUUAUCCAAUCUUACUGUUUAUUCCAAGACCAUGAGGCUACAGUUCCUGGAGUGAUGGGCCCCAGUGGCCAUAGGUAAGGCCGCAAAAAGGAUUCUACCACCCUGCGCUCAUACCUGCUCAAUGGACACACCAACCAUGAUCUAUGCAGUUUUUGUGGACUAGCAUGGACCCCAUGAACAUCAGAAUCUAAAGAAAAGGAAAGGCAGCAGCCUUAAAAGAUCCUAAUAACUUGAAAAUGCACAGAGAGGAAAUGGGCAGAGAGCAGCUGCAGGCACCGGCUUUGGCAUGCUGCCUACCUUUGUCAGGGUUGUUCAGCUGGAAGAUAUCUGGGUGCUCGGGGUCAUCAGGCAGCUGCACCAUCCAGCCCACGAUGGAAACCUUUUUGCCAGGUGUGGAUUUAUACUGGAGGAGAGCAACAACAUAGCUGGAGGCCCGGGCCCAGCCCACCACUCCACAGGGGAGGCUGACCUGGGCCAGGCAGGCUCCUUCCCUCCCCUGCCAUCUUCCCACCCCCAUACUCCUCAGUUCACUUGAUCCCUUUCCCACUCCCAUCCUCCACAGUUCACAGAGGUCCCUUUCCCACUAGACAAACUCCAAGUAUGAGAGUCUUUUCAAGGGACUUACAUGUUUUCUGUCUGUGCCCCGCAAGGACUUGGCUCCGUAGUACAGGAGGGUGGAUCCUGAGAGUAUGACCCAGUACCUGGUCCACGAGGACAGCUACAGAGGAAGGGGAAGCUGAGUGAUGCCACCAGGGGUGGUGGGGAGUAGAGGCCCCCUGGCUCUGUGAUUCCAGACCCAGCCACCCCAUCAAUGCCAGUGCAGGCUCCUGGCCCUCCAUCACCCCCUGGCAAUGCCAGCUUCCACCAAGGACCAAGAUGGGAGGUGUCUUUCGUCCCCUCUCUUGCUCCUUUACUCAGGGAGCCUUUCCUUUGUUCAUUUCAAGGCAGUGCCAGGCAUAAUUUCUGAGAGUUCAGCUCGCUGCACACUCACUGCAAGCAGGGCCUCUGCCACACAUGUGACUUUCUUGCUGAGACCUCUAGGAAUGGGCACUAUUUGCAGAUGUGGAAACUCAGAGGCCCAGGCAGGGCUGGAAUCUUUGGAUCCAGGCCCUUCACUGCUGCCCUUGCUGCCCCAGGUGGAUGUGGGUCUGCACUUACUGCAGGCUUCCGCCCUUCUUUGAGCAGGGUUUUUCUUCUCAGAGGCCCUUCCAUGGUGGGCACCGCUGCUGAGUUCCCCAGAGAACAAAUGCACGGGCCAGUGGGGCUGAGAAGAGACCAUCAGUCAGACAUUGUCCUGUAGGAGCUGAGGUCAAGCACCCUCUCACUCACUGGGGACCACAGGUGUCCCAGUGCCAAGUCUGUGAUGUCCCAGCAAUCCAGAGGACUCAACAGUGCAGGGCAAGGCCUGGAGGAGAGCGCCAGGUGAUGACGCACAUGAAGGACCCCACCGCCAAGGACUCCCACAUCUGUCUCUCUGGGGCUACAAAGCUCCAGGCUUGGUGACCAAAUUCCUCAUAAUCCAGACCCCAAUCAGCACCUCCACCUUAUCCUGAAGGAUGCUUUUAUCACAGCUGCAGCCUGGCCACUCCCUGGGGCUGGUGUGGGCUCCUCCACACCUGAAGAGCUAGUGCCUACACAGCCCCAGCUGUAGCAGCUCCUCCUUCUGGUGUCAGCCGGAGCCUCGGAGGAGCAGUGAGAAAUGGAAGAGGCAGUGUGGAGUGGCAGACGGACACGAGCCAACACGCACCAUUCCCCAUACCUUUCCCAGGCUCUUCUCUCACCCUCUCCUUUGGGGACUCAAGCACCAUCUACAGAUCAAGGCAUCCAAGGGCAUGGCAGCCCAGACCUCCCUCCUGAGCUCCAGAUCUGCCCAUGCCCCAUGAAUGGCACCACCCCCUACUAGCCACUUCAGCCAGAAAGCUGGGGGUUUUCUUCUCUCUCUGAUGCCCCUGCAACCUAAUCAAUCCCAAGGAUGCACUGGGCAUCAGAUACUAAAUAUGCCUGACCAUGUAUCUUAGCCAUCCCACCACACCUUAGGCCAUGGGGCCUUCCUUCCAGCCACUGCUGAGUGUCCUUCACUGGCCUUCCUGGGUCCACACUGGCCAAUACCUCAACCCUCCCUCUCUCCUCUCCUCUACCUGGUCACAGCACACCCCUUUCAUGGCUCCCUGUUGCUUUUAAAAUCUGAGCCACCAUCCUCACCCCUGUUGGAUGCAGCUGCAGCUCAUCUCAUGUCCCUGCCCUCUCUCAUUCCUUCGAACACGGCCUUUCCUUCACUCUAAUCACCUGGCUCUUCCUGUCUCACAGUCCACGGCUGUCCCUUUGCUGGGAGCACUUGCAUUGCCCUAACUGUCCACUCCCAAUUAUUUGGCGAAUUCCUAUCAUUCUUCCAGUCUCUUCUUCAGGGAGGCCUUCCCUGAUUUCCCCAACCAAGUGUGCUUCUGCUCCUCUCCCUGAGUGCCCCUAACCUCCUCUAGGACAGCCACUGCACCUAGAAGUAGCCUCAUGGAGGCAAAAGCGUGUCUGUUUCUUUUGGCAGCCUCUAGCACAGUGCUUGGCAUCCAGCAGGCCACAUAACAAGCUAUGUGUUGAACAAAUGAACACAUGAACACAUGAAUACCUGUAGACACAGCUCCGGGUUCUAGGAGAAUUCCGAACUGGAACCCGCCAGUUGGGCCCCAGGGUGGCAUAGAGACGUCCCCUGCUACAGAGGAAAAGGGUUAAAUUUUAGCAACAGCUUUGAAAGACCAGAUGCUCCUUAAGGAGGCAAGAGCACCCCGGACUACAUGGUCAAUUAGCUGAGGAAGCGCCACAGAGCAACCUCUCUCCCAGCCUCCUUGGCCACACUGCAAGCACACCUGGAGUUGCCAGGCCACUAAACACUGCGCCCCUCAGAGUCCCCAAGACCCCAGCUAAUUCUUUCAACUUUUAACUGAGUGUUCACCAUUUUUCCAGGGUCAAGAGCAUGACUAAAAUCCAGGCCCGCCCACUUGCCUUGGCCUAGGGCUGAGAUAUUUCAAAGCAAACACUGUAGAGCCGAGAUAGUCCAUGGCUAGUCCACGUUAACAGUGCACACAGAAUUGUGGGCAACCUUGCAGGUUGGGCCUGAGUGUCAUUCACCAGGACGUAACUGGAGCCUUCUGUGUGCUACAUCCUCUGUGCUGGACGGUCUCCUCUGCAGCUCCAGCCAGGUCUCUGCAAACUUGCUUUGUGACCUGCUGCAGCAUCCAGGAGUUCGCACUCCAGGGUUACUCUGUUGGCAGCCCUCUGGCUUUCUUCUCGCCUGCACUCCCUGGCAGUGUGCCUUUCCAGAGCAACGUGCAGCUUCCUGCUCAACCUCUUUGCAUGGAGGCACCCUCUUUCUCCUUUACCCUCUCCUGUCUUAGAAGACUCACUUCCUGUAUCCAUUUGAUGUUCCAACCUUUCCCCAACCCUUCAAGCAUGGCCUAUUGUCUGACCACAGCUCUUCUUGCCCAUUGGCUAGAUGACAAUGUAGUCAACUUAAUAAAGUCAGAUGAGGCCCGGAGUUCCUUUGUAAGAUCCCCUUGGUCCUCCACGGUCAGCCGUACAUUGCUGCACGUCGCUCUGUGACAUCGGCGCCUGCGGGUGGUGUGGGGCCACCCCCACGCAUUGCAGCAGGUACAUCAUACCUGCCCAGGGGCCUCUGUCCUCCCUCCAGGAAGGAGCUCUUCUUGAUGACCAUCUUGGGUCCACUGUCCAGGGACCCAAUUUCAGGACUGGUGGGAGUCUGAUGGUUAGCUGGGACAGCUGCUCUUGGCCCCUCAAGCCUCCUGCCCAUCGGCUCUCUUCCUCUCUGGGUGAUGGUGUAUCAUAGCAUGAGCUUGGCUCCCCAGUCCUCUAACAUAGUGUCAGGGUGGUCAUAGGCUGACCCCACCCCCACCCCUACUGAGCUGUGGCAGAGAGGAGAGAGGCCCUGGUGUGCCCAAUUCCCCAGCCACUGGCCCAAUGGCACCUCCCUCCCAGAAAAAGGGGUGGAGUGCAGUGAGUGAAAGUGACCCAUGCAGAUAACUGUGAAUCUCUGAUUUUGGACAAGCAAACAGUCCCCAAAGUCACUGUUCCUGGCACCACAUACUGAGCACCUCACAGGUGAGUGCACUAGCACAGCAGGUCCCAAGUCUGUGUGGAAGAAGUGCUGCUCAGGGGAAUUGGCCAUGGCUGCCUCCGGGGCUGCUCUUCUUCCAGCCAUCACCAGGAUUUCUUCUGAGCAGGGUUUGACAAUGGCCUUUUCUGUAGUGAGAUCCUUUGUGGCUUUGUCUGCUACCCAGGAACGUUUCCUCCUCAUCUGAGCUGGAUUCCAGCUCUGAGCUGCCACCUGUUUGGAGUUGAGGAUAGAGUCUCCCUUCCCAGAGCCAGGCCCUCUGGCCCCUUUGCCACUUUUCUUCUCCUGAGUCUUUUUCCCUGUUACCUGAGGAGAAUAUGUGAUGGCAGUGGACCGUCCACAGUUCCCACAGUACCUCAGACAGGGUACGGGGGCCAGCAGAGCUACCUUCUUCCCAUCAUUCUCUCCAUCAUUUUCUCCUUUUGCAUGAGACAGUACAUGGCUUUGUAUUUUACAGAUGUUUGAUGGAAUGACAUCUUUGAUGGAGAGCUUGAAACGAGCAUCUUCCAGGCAGGCUAGCCUUGUAAGGGGCCUUUCCUCAUGUCCUCCCUAAAGGGGUGAGGAGUGGACUGGCAGGGAGCACAAGGACACCCGGGGACACUGGGUAGCUCUCAACAGACCAAGCAGUCACUAGGCAGUGAGCGCUCACAUGCUCUGAUGCCCCUGCAACCUAGUCACGUGCAUUCAUGCUGUCACCGAAGCUUUGUGUAAAGCACCCUUACCCUCCCCACAAUGA